GAUGAACGCUGGCGGCGUGCCUAAUACAUGCAAGUCGAACGAAACUUCUUUAUCACCGAGUGCUUGCACUCACCGAUAAAGAGUUGAGUGGCGAACGGGUGAGUAACACGUGGGCAACCUGCCCAAAAGAGGGGGAUAACACUUGGAAACAGGUGCUAAUACCGCAUAACCAUAGUUACCGCAUGGUAACUAUGUAAAAGGUGGCUAUACUACCGCUUUUGGAUGGGCCCGCGGCGCAUUAGCUAGUUGGUAGGGUAAAGCUUACCAAGGCAAUGAUGCGUAGCCGAAUUGAGAGGUUGAUCGGCCACAUUGGGACUGAGACACGGCCCAAACUCCUACGGGAGGCAGCAGUAGGGAAUCUUCCACAAUGGGCGAAAGCCUGAUGGAGCAACGCCGCGUGGGUGAAGAAGGUCUUCGGAUCGUAAAACCCUGUUGUUAGAGAAGAAAGUGCGUGAGAGUAACUGUUCACGUUUCGACGGUAUCUAACCAGAAAGCCACGGCUAACUACGUG
rnacentral:rRNA from 1 species